GAUCUCUCAAGAUGAAAAGCAUAUGAAUUAAAGGAUAGGUAAAAAACAAGUCAAAAAGAUAAUGCAACUGUGAAUUAAAGGAUAGAUUAUAGAAAAAGUUAAAAAAAAAUAUUAAAUAUUUCAAGCAUUCAAUGGUUGCAUAUGACAAUUAAUUGUAGCUGCACUCUUUUGGAUAGAUUACUUCAACCCUUUCAACCUACAUAACGUAUCCGAGAACCCAUGUCUAAAUUUAGAACCAUAUUCCCAUAUUUUCUAUUUAGAAAGUUCACAAGUCUUACACACAGAUAUGCACCCAUUUCCAACACCUGCACCCAAGUCCAAGUAACAUAGGCAACAAAUAUAAUGCAGACUACUAAAUAGAAAGCAUAUCUCUUUCAAACAUAUACUUGUAUGCCUGUGCCUGUACAUAACAAAAUACGCAUUGUCAUUUAAAUCAUAAUAACCAUCCAAAUCACCAGCAACUAAUGAGCCAAAGAAAUUCAAGUAAUUCUCAAGUCUCUUCAUUAUAACCAAAGUCACAUGCAUUAACCAUCAUGAUCAUGCGAAGAGGGAAGAGCAAGCAUGGAGUAAGUUUCUGAUCAGUUGCUAACAAACUUCUAUUAAAUUUAUAAACAUUCUGCAAGUUUCUGAUCAGUUGCUAACAAACUUCUAUUAAAUUUAUAAACAUUCUGCAAGUUUCUGAUCAGUUGCUAACAACCUUCUAUCAAAUUUAUAAACAUUCUGCUGUACAUAAAAGGCCAUACGAUUUAGAAUUUGAUAGACCAUCACCCCAAGAUAACAAUCAUUAUUCCUAUUUCCACUAUUCAAUUUCCUCACAAACAAACAGCUAAAUAUCU
rnacentral:misc_RNA from 1 species